rnacentral:lncRNA from 1 species
AAAUGUCUUUUCCUUUCCUUUUCUUCUUCAGUUCUCAUCAAAUCACAAGUGGCUCAAAAGGCGGGUGGGGAAGCUGCUUCUAUCGUCCUGCAGUCGGAGAAAAAGACCACCUCCUCUGCAGCUCAAGUGCAGUGUGCAGAUGUGGAGAGUCCAGAUGUCAUUCUAAUCAAAGAUGAGGAUGAUGUGGGAGGAUGUGGCCCAGAUAUUGGUGAUCAGGGUGACUUUAGAAACCACAGCCUGCAGGGCGGUGUUGCAACAGGAGCUCAGAAUUUGGAGCCAGCUGGUUCCUCUUGCUCAACAGGUGAUAAUGAGGAGCUGAGAAUCGUGUGCGUUCACGGCCGAGGCGAAGGGCCUCUACAGGAUGAAAGUGACACCCUCUUCUCUGCGUCUGAGCUUCAGGCUUUUAGCUCUCUGUCCAACCACAACGUCAGCCACGACAACCUCCUGAAUUUCACCACCG